rnacentral:rRNA from 1 species
UAGGGAAUCUUCCGCAAUGGGCGAAAGCCUGACGGAGCAACGCCGCGUGAGUGAUGAAGGUCUUCGGAUCGUAAAACUCUGUUAUUAGGGAAGAACAAAUGUGUAAGUAACUAUGCACGUCUUGACGGUACCUAAUCAGAAAGCCACGGCUAACUACGUGCCAGCAGCCGCGGUAAUACGUAGGUGGCAAGCGUUAUCCGGAAUUAUUGGGCGUAAAGCGCGCGUAGGCGGUUUUUUAAGUCUGAUGUGAAAGCCCACGGCUCAACCGUGGGGGGUCAUUGGGAACUUGAAAACUUGAGUGCAGAAGAGGAAAGUGGAAUUCCAUGGGUAGCGGUGAAAUGCGCAGAGAUAUGGGGGAACACCAGUGGGGAAGGCGGAUUUCUUGGUUGUAACUGACUCUGAUGUGCGAAAGCGUGGGGGUCAAACAGG